AGGACAUAUAAAAUGAAUAAUAGACAUAAUGUGUAUCUGCCAUACAAAUACUUGUAACAUGUAUAAUGUAGGAUAUUAUUGACUCAAUGAUCCUCAUUUGACUUGGUGGAUAACUCAUGAAAUUUUCUGUUUAGAGUACCUUUGUCAUAAUAAUACUUGAAAGUAUAAACACACCAAUAUUGGAGAAUGAACACGCAUAGAAGUAGCUUGACACA
rnacentral:lncRNA from 1 species